rnacentral:rRNA from 1 species
GACGAGCCUCACAAACGUUAUUCGGAAUUACUGGGCUUAAAGGGUGCGUAGGCGGCGUAGAAAGUUGGGGUGUGAAAUCCCUCAGCUUAACUGAGGAAGGGCGCCCAAAACUACUAUGCUCGAGGGAGAUAGAGGAGUGCGGAACUUAGGGUGGAGCGGUGAAAUGCGUUGAUAUCCUAGGGAACACCGGUGGCGAAAGCGGCACUCUGGAUCUCUUCUGACGCUGAGGCACGAAAGCUAGGGUAGCAAACGGG